GACGAACGCUGGCGGCGUGCUUAACACAUGCAAGUCGAACGUGAUUUUUGUGGAAAUUCUUUCGGGAAUGGAAAUGAAAUGAAAGUGGCGAACGGGUGAGUAACACGUGAGCAACCUACCUUACACAGGGGGAUAGCCGUUGGAAACGACGAUUAAUACCGCAUGAGACCACAGAAUCGCAUGAUAUAGGGGUCAAAGAUUUAUCGGUGUAAGAAGGGCUCGCGUCUGAUUAGCUAGUUGGAAGGGUAAAGGCCUACCAAGGCGACGAUCAGUAGCCGGUCUGAGAGGAUGAACGGCCACAUUGGAACUGAGACACGGUCCAAACUCCUACGGGAGGCAGCAGUGGGGAAUAUUGCACAAUGGGGGGAACCCUGAUGCAGCGACGCCGCGUGAGCGAAGAAGGUUUUCGAAUCGUAAAGCUCUGUCCUAUGAGAAGAUAAUGACGGUA
rnacentral:rRNA from 1 species